UAGGCUACGCAAAAAACAGCGUCAGCUAUAUUUCUAAUCUGUUGCAGCAAAACCGUCGCAGCGAUCAGCAAACAAGUGCGGUAACAGACUACGUAUUUGGGAGGAUGUUUUUAGACCUGGUGAAGAGGCUUUGACUGCUUAACCUGCACGUUCGACAAGCUCUACAGAAAAACCAUUUUCAGAUUCUCUGUUUUCUUAAACGACACAUCCCUUUCGUUCGAGCAAAAGUGUUUUUACACGCGAGGUACACAUAUCACCUGUGUUCAAAUCUGAAUGGGAAAGAACAGGUUUUGCGUGCGUGUCACAAUGGAGGGCAUUCGAGUACGCCAACCUGCAACUGUAAUCCGGAGUGGAUACACGUAAACAAAAAAGAACUGGUGUGACAUUGCGUUUCAUUCUCGUUAUAAUGACUUUAUUUGUUGGGGAAUCCCAGAGGCCUUGAACCAGCUCGAAAACUUAAGGAGCUCGAGGAGAAAAGCAACUUUGAAUUGGCGAAAAAAGAAAGAAAAAAAGAGUCACGUAUCGAACCUUCGGCAAGUAUAAAAUGCGAGGUGCGCGAAGACCUUUUCAUCACAAUCCGCACAGUUGAAGAGCGCAGAACAACUACUGAAGCCCUUAUUCAAUUUUUAAAGAACCAAACGUGUCAUUUAUACUUCACCAUGAACAAGGGAGUUAUUCUUAUGAUGUUUGUCUUUGUCAUCCUCUGCAUUACGACGACGAUGGCCGGAGUGCAGGAGUUCGCCAAAUUCCCUGCUGUUAACUAUCAUCAGGCUCGAAUCAUUCGCGAAGCUAGCCCACAAAGAUUCCCUGGCUGGCUUUUCGGUUAACUUGUUGAACAAGUAGGCUACGUUAACCUCGAUGUCGUUCGGAAGACUUAAAGGCCUCCUCUGCUCAGCAAACAUGAAGACCUUAUUUAUUAUCAAACAUCACAUCGUAAAUUUUUACCGUAAUUGAUUCCAUUAAUAUUUAUUUAUUACUUGUAAAAAAAAGUUAUGCUAUUCUUGACAUAUAUAUAUAUUGCAAACUGAA